rnacentral:rRNA from 1 species
GGAGCUUGCUCCUCUGACGUUAGCGGCGGACGGGUGAGUAACACGUGGAUAACCUACCUAUAAGACUGGGAUAACUUCGGGAAACCGGAGCUAAUACCGGAUAAUAUAUUGAACCGCAUGGUUCAAUAGUGAAAGACGGUUUUGCUGUCACUUAUAGAUGGAUCCGCGCCGCAUUAGCUUAGUUGGUAAGGUAACGGCUUACCAAGGCAACGAUGCGUAGCCGACCUGAGAGGGUGAUCGGCCACACUGGAACUGAGACACGGUCCAGACUCCUACGGGAGGCAGCAGUAGGGAAUCUUCCGCAAUGGGCGAAAGCCUGACGGAGCAACGCCGCGUGAGUGAUGAAGGUCUUCGGAUCGUAAAACUCUGUUAUUAGGGAAGAACAAAUGUGUAAGUAACUAUGCACGUCUUGACGGUACCUAAUCAGAAAGCCACGGCUAACUACGUGCCAGCAGCCGCGGUAAUACGUAGGUGGCAAGCGUUAUCCGGAAUUAUUGGGCGUAAAGCGCGCGUAGGCGGUUUUUUAAGUCUGAUGUGAAAGCCCACGGCUCAACCGUGGAGGGUCAUUGGAAACUGGAAAACUUGAGUGCAGAAGAGGAAAGUGGAAUUCCAUGUGUAGCGGUGAAAUCGCAGAGAUAUGGAGGAACACCAGUGGCGAAGGCGACUUUCUGGUCUGUAACUGAC